rnacentral:rRNA from 1 species
AUGACUCUUAGCAGUGGAUCACUCGGCUCGUGCGUCGAUGAAGAACGCAGCG